UUUGCGGAGAGUUUGAUCCUGGCUCAGGAUUAACGCUGGCGGCGUGCCUAAUACAUGCAAGUCGAACGAAGAGCUUCUUUACUUGUAUUCGUACAUGUACGGAGGAUUUCUUAGUGGCGAACGGGUGAGUAACGCGUUGGUGACCUGCCCCGAAGAGAGGGAUAACUCCGGGAAACUGGAGCUAAUACCUUAUGUGGUCACGGUUUUUAGAAAACUGUGUCUAAAGGACUUCGGUCCACUUCGGGAGGGGCCUGCGUCCCAUCAGCUAGUUGGUAGGGUAAUGGCCUACCAAGGCGUCGACGGGUAAGGGACCUGAGAGGGUGGCCCCUCACAAUGGAACUGAAACACGGUCCAUACACCUACGGGUGGCAGCAGUAGGGAAUAUUGCACAAUGGACGAAAGUCUGAUGCAGCAACGCCGCGUGUGCGAUGAAGGCCUUCG
rnacentral:rRNA from 1 species